UUCUCGUGUCCACCCUCGGUCAUGGCCUCGAGCGGGGUGCGGUAGCCGACCGAGUCCGGGCACCGUUCCACUCCCACGCGGUUGGCGCCGCGCCGCUGACCGGUGGAUUCGACGUGCUCGGCCAGCUCUUCCCGAGAGCAUCGCUCGGUAAGUGGCGGCUUCACGUGGACGACGUCUGCUCAUGCCGCUGCAGUGACACCAUGCUCGUCACGGUCAACGACGCGAGUGCCAUCCGGACGCUCUUCGACAUACUCGAGUCACCGCGCUUUCACGCACAUUCAGUAACGCACCUCAUCGUCGAAACCGCGGUUGCCCUGUUCGAAACAGAGUUCCUGUUUGACAGCAUCCCGGGCAGAGGCACCGCGCUAUGGACAGAUUUCUGCGACUCGUCCACCGGUGGUCUCUUCGAGCUGUGGGAGCUGGUGUUCGUGCAGCAGCUCACCAACAAGGAAAAGGACAACGCACUCCGCUCCCUCUACGACUCCAUUUCCGGAGCGGUCAUCGCGGACGCCACCGACGUAUUCGCGAGUCCUGAAGACGCCAAGCAAGCAAGCGCCUUGAUCUCACGACUGCGGUUGCUCUUGCCCACGCAGGUGUCGCACUGGUACCAUAUUUUCCUGCCGAACCUGACGGAAGACUAUUGCUUCAACGUCAUCGCCAUCGCAGCGUUUCGGCGAAAGGUCACCCUACAUGACUUCGAAGACGUUGUCGGCUGGAUGUGGUUGUGGCACAAGGAACACGACAUGCAAGCGAACCGUCUGGGCGACCUCAUCGCAGUCUCGCCCGCAAUGUACGCAAAUAUGAGGUUGGAAGCUCGCCAAGAAACCUAUGUAAACGCGGCUCUUGUGGGCGUCCAGAUUGCCAGUAUCCUAUGGCAGGUCCUGUUCAGGCACCGCGGUUGGAGCAACGCGGUUUCUCAACAGCUCCAGCGACACGCUCACUGCAUCGGCGAUCACGUGAAACACGAGGACCCCACCUAUGUCCAGCACCCGCUGCUGUCGCUGCGGUCGACACUGCGUGCAGUGGCGGGCGCAGGAUGGCACCGGCCGGUCAAAAUGUGGGGCUUCUGGAAGCUGUCGCCCAGCCAGCUCUUCUACAUGCUGUUCUACAGGGAGUACGUGUGUCCCAACAGUGUCCACGACAGGCUUUACGAGGAGCGGGCCCGGAGCACGCAUUUGAUGCGGCGUGGGCUGGACUUCUGCAAAGCGUUUCAGUGUCAUCCACUGCCGAUAGAUGCCGCGGCAGGAUGCAUACACGACCUGUCGGUCUCAAUCCUGCCCGCGUGACGACGUGUAAGGUCAGCCCGUAAUACAGGACGCGGCGCUGUAUGGACAUUCACAAGCGCCCUAUACUCGCGUCAUUUGAAUGCUUCGAUGCCAGUUCAUUAUUUGCGGCUUGAGCAUAUGGUUCAGGUGGAAAAACAAGACUUGAAAGGAAGUGCUAGACCAUGGCGAGGAAGUUAUAAUUUAGGUCAUUGCUUGAGGAAAAUGAUAUCACGAUUAUUGAUUUUUCCCUGCACAAUUCCUAUGACACGGGAGCUGAUCUGAAACCAUAUACGAUGACAAGUCCGUACAUUUUUUAUACAUGUAUACAAGAUAUGCCACAUAGCACACGUCACCAAAACUCUU
rnacentral:misc_RNA from 1 species